AUACGGAGGGUCCGAGCGUUAAUCGGAAUUACUGGGCGUAAAGCGCGCGUAGGCGGCUAUAUAAGUCAGAUGUGAAAUCCCUGGGCUCAACCUAGGAACUGCAUUUGAAACUGUAUGGCUAGAGUAUGGUAGAGGUGAGUGGAAUUUCAGGUGUAGCGGUGAAAUGCGUAGAGAUCUGAAGGAACAUCAGUGGCGAAGGCGACUCACUGGGCCAUUACUGACGCUGAGGUGCGAAAGCGUGGGUAGCAAACGGGAUUAGAAACCCUAGUAGUCC
rnacentral:rRNA from 1 species